CAAUAGCGUAUAUUAAAGUUGUUGCAGUUAAAAAGCUCGUAGUUGGAUUUCGGGGCAGCCUGGCUGGUCCGCCGCAAGGCGAGUACUGGUCAGCCGCCCUUCCUCUCGAAAGCCCCGACUGCUCUUCGUUGCAGUGGUCGGGUAGUUCGGGACGUUUACUUUGAAAAAAUUAGAGUGUUCAAGGCAGGCCUACGCCUGAAUACAUUAGCAUGGAAUAAUGGAAGAGGACCUCGGUCCUAUUUUGUUGGUUUCCAGGGCCGAAGUAAUGAUUAAGAGGGACAGUUGGGGGCAUUCGUAUUUAAUUGUCAGAGGUGAAAUUCUCGGAUUUAUGAAAGACGAACAACUGCGAAAGCAUUUGCCUAGGAUGUUUUCAUUAA
rnacentral:rRNA from 1 species